rnacentral:rRNA from 1 species
UACGUAGGGUGCAAGCGUUGUCCGGAAUUAUUGGGCGUAAAGAGCUCGUAGGCGGUCUGUCGCGUCUGCUGUGAAAACUCAGGGCUUAACCCUGAGCUUGCAGUGGGUACGGGCAGACUAGAGUGCGGUAGGGGAGACUGGAAUUCCUGGUGUAGCGGUGAAAUGCGCAGAUAUCAGGAGGAACACCGGUGGCGGAAGGCGGGGUCUCUGGGCCGUAACUGACGCUGGAGGAGCGAAAGCGUGGGGAGCGAACAGG